rnacentral:rRNA from 1 species
CAGUCGAGGGGUAUAGUUCUUCGGAGCUAGAGACCGGCGCACGGGUGCGUAACGCGUAUGCAAUCUACCUUUUACAGAGGGAUAGCCCAGAGAAAUUUGGAUUAAUACCUCAUAGUAUAAUGACUCGGCAUCGAGAUAUUAUUAAAGUCACAACGGUAAAAGAUGAGCAUGCGUCCCAUUAGCUAGUUGGUAAGGUAACGGCUUACCAAGGCUACGAUGGGUAGGGGUCCUGAGAGGGAGAUCCCCCACACUGGUACUGAGACACGGACCAGACUCCUACGGGAGGCAGCAGUGAGGAAUAUUGGACAAUGGGCGCAAGCCUGAUCCAGCCAUGCCGCGUGCAGGAUGACGGUCCUAUGGAUUGUAAACUGCUUUUAUACGAGAAGAAACACUCCGACGUGUCGGAGCUUGACGGUAUCGUAAGAAUAAGGAUCGGCUAACUCCGUGCCAGCAGCCGCGGUAAUACGGAGGAUCCAAGCGUUAUCCGGAAUCAUUGGGUUUAAAGGGUCCGUAGGCGGUUUAAUAAGUCAGUGGUGAAAGCCCAUCGCUCAACGGUGGAACGGCCAUUGAUACUGUUAAACUUGAAUUAUUAGGAAGUAACUAGAAUAUGUAGUGUAGCGGUGAAAUGCUUAGAGAUUACAUGGAAUACCAAUUGCGAAGGCAGGUUACUACUAAUGGAUUGACGCUGAUGGACGAAAGCGUGGGUAGCGAACAGGAUUAGAUACCCUGGUAGUCCACGCCGUANACGAUGGAUACUAGCUGUUGGAAGCAAUUUCAGUGGCUAAGCGAAAGUGAUAAGUAUCCCACCUGGGGAGUACGUUCGCAAGAAUGAAAUCAAGGGAAUUGAC